rnacentral:rRNA from 1 species
UACGGGGGGGGCAAGCGUUGUUCGGAAUUACUGGGCGUAAAGGGCUCGUAGGCGGCCAACUAAGUCAGACGUGAAAUCCCUCGGCUUAACCGGGGAACUGCAUCUGAUACUGGAUGGCUAGAGAUUGGGAGAGGGAUGCGGAAUUCCAGGUGUAGCGGUGAAAUGCGUAGAUAUCUGGAGGAACACCGGUGGCGAAGGCGGCAUUCUGGACCGAUAUUGACGCUGAGGAGCGAAAGCCAGGGGAGCAAACGGG